rnacentral:rRNA from 1 species
GACGAACGCUGGCGGCGUGCUUAACACAUGCGAGUCGAACGGAAAGGCCCUGCUUUUGUGGGGUGCUCGAGUGGCGAACGGGUGAGUAACACGUGAGUAACCUGCCCUUGACUUUGGGAUAACUUCAGGAAACUGGGGCUAAUACCGGAUAGGAGCUCCUGUUGCAUGGUGGGGGUUGGAAAGUUUCGGCGGUUGGGGAUGGACUCGCGGCUUAUCAGCUUGUUGGUGGGGUAGUGGCUUACCAAGGCUUUGACGGGUAGCCGGCCUGGGAGGGUGACCGGCCACAUUGGGACUGAGAUACGGCCCAGACUCCUACGGGAGGCAGCAGUGGGGAAUAUUGCACAAUGGGCGGAAGCCUGAUGCAGCAACGCCGCGUGCGGGAUGACGGCCUUCGGGUUGUAAACCGCUUUCGCCUGUGACGAAGCGUGAGUGACGGUAAUGGGUAAAGAAGCACCGGCUAACUACGUG